AUUGAACGCUGGCGGCAUGCCUUACACAUGCAAGUCGAACGGCAGCACGGGGCAACCUGGUGGCGAGUGGCGAACGGGUGAGUAAUGCAUCGGAACGUACCUUUCAGUGGGGGAUAACGUAGCGAAAGUUACGCUAAUACCGCAUAUUCUGUGAGCAGGAAAGCAGGGGAUCGCAAGACCUUGCGCUGAUUGAGCGGCCGAUGUCAGAUUAGCUAGUUGGUGAGGUAAAGGCUCACCAAGGCGACGAUCUGUAGCGGGUCUGAGGGGAUGAUCCGCCACACUGGAACUGAGACACGGUCCAGACUCCUACGGGAGGCAGCAGUGGGGAAUUUUGGACAAUGGGGGCAACCCUGAUCCAGCCAUGCCGCGUGAGUGAAGAAGGCCUUCGGGUUGUAAAGCUCUUUCGGCCGGGAAGAAAUCGCACGGGCUAAUGCCCUGUGUGGAUGACGGUACCGGAAUAAGAAGCACCGGCUAACUACGUGCCAGCCGCCGCGGUAA
rnacentral:rRNA from 1 species